rnacentral:rRNA from 1 species
GAAAGCGUGGGGAGCAAACAGGAUUAGAUACCCUGGUAGUCCACGCCCUAAACGAUGGAUGCUAGUUGUUGGAGGGCUUAGUCUCUCCAGUAAUGCAGCUAACGCAUUAAGCAUCCCGCCUGGGGAGUACGGUCGCAAGAUUAAAACUCAAAGGAAUAGACGGGGACCCGCACAAGCGGUGGAGCAUGUGGUUUAAUUCGAAGAUACACGAAGAACCUUACCUAGGCUUGACAUUGAGAGAAUCCGCUAGAAAUAGUGGAGUGUCUGGCUUGCCAGACCUUGAAAACAGGUGCUGCACGGCUGUCGUCAGCUCGUGUCGUGAGAUGUUGGGUUAAGUCCCGCAACGAGCGCAACCCCCUUUCUUAGUUGCUAACAGGUCAUGCUGAGAACUCUAAGGAUACUGCCUCCGUAAGGAGGAGGAAGGUGGGGACGACGUCAAGUCAUCAUGGCCCUUACGCCUAGGGCUACACACGUGCUACAAUGGGGUGCACAAAGAGAAGCAAUACUGCGAAGUGGAGCCAAUCUUCAAAACACCUCUCAGUUCGGAUUGUAGGCUGCAACUCGCCUGCAUGAAGCUGGAAUCGCUAGUAAUCGCAAAUCAGCCAUGUUGCGGUGAAUACGUUCCCGGGUCUUGUACUCACCGCCCGUCACACCAUGGGAGUUGUGUUUGCCUUAAGUCAGGAUGCUAAAUUGGCUACUGCCCACGGCACACACAGCGACUGGGGUGAAGUCGUAACAAGGUAACCGUAGGUGAACCUGCGGUUG